AUACUACUCCCUCCGUCCCAAAAUUCUUGUCUUAGAUUUGUCUAAAUACGGAUGUAUCUAGUUACGUUUUAGUGUUAGAUACAUCCGUAUCUAGACAAAUUUAAGACAAGAAUUUUGGGACGGAGGGAGUAUAUU
rnacentral:pre_miRNA from 1 species